GCAAGUCGAACGAACUCUGGUAUUGAUGUGGUGCUUGCAUCAUGAUUUACAUUUGAGUGAGUGGCGAACUGGUGAGUAACACGUGGGAAACCUGCCCAGAAGCGGGGGAUAACACCUGGAAACAGAUGCUAAUACCGCAUAACAACUUGGACCGCAUGGUCCGAGUUUGAAAGAUGGCUUCGGCUAUCACUUUUGGAUGGUCCCGCGGCGUAUUAGCUAGAUGGUGGGGUAACGGCUCACCAUGGCAAUGAUACGUAGCCGACCUGAGAGGGUAAUCGGCCACAUUGGGACUGAGACACGGCCCAAACUCCUACGGGAGGCAGCAGUAGGGAAUCUUCCACAAUGGACGAAAGUCUGAUGGAGCAACGCCGCGUGAGUGAAGAAGGGUUUCGGCUCGUAAAACUCUGUUGUUAAAGAAGAACAUAUCUGAGAGUAACUGUUCAGGUAUUGACGGUAUUUAACCAGAAAGCCACGGCUAACUACGUGCCAGCAGCCGCGGUAAUACGUAGGUGGCAAGCGUUGUCCGGAUUUAUUGGGCGUAAAGCGAGCGCAGGCGGUUUUUUAAGUCUGAUGUGAAAGCCUUCGGCUCAACCGAAGAAGUGCAUCGGAAACUGGGAAACUUGAGUGCAGAAGAGGACAGUGGAACUCCAUGUGUAGCGGUGAAAUGCGUAGAUAUAUGGAAGAACACCAGUGGCGAAGGCGGCUGUCUGGUCUGUAACUGACGCUGAGGCUCGAAAGUAUGGGUAGCAAACAGGAUUAGAUACCCUGGUAGUCCAUACCGUAAACGAUGAAUGCUAAGUGUUGGAGGGUUUCCGCCCUUCAGUGCUGCAGCUAACGCAUUAAGCAUUCCGCCUGGGGAGUACGGCCGCAAGGCUGAAACUCAAAGGAAUUGACGGGGGCCCGCACAAGCGGUGGAGCAUGUGGUUUAAUUCGAAGCUACGCGAAGAACCUUACCAGGUCUUGACAUACUAUGCAAAUCUAAGAGAUUAGACGUUCCCUUCGGGGACAUGGAUACAGGUGGUGCAUGGUUGUCGUCAGCUCGUGUCGUGAGAUGUUGGGUUAAGUCCCGCAACGAGCGCAACCCUUAUUAUCAGUUGCCAGCAUUAAGUUGGGCACUCCGGUGAGACUGCCGGUGACAAACCGGAGGAAGGUGGGGAUGACGUCAAAUCAUCAUGCCCCUUAUGACCUGGGCUACACACGUGCUACAAUGGAUGGUACAACGAGUUGCGAACUCGCGAGAGUAAGCUAAUCUCUUAAAGCCAUUCUCAGUUCGGAUUGUAGGCUGCAACUCGCCUACAUGAAGUCGGAAUCGCUAGUAAUCGCGGAUCAGCAUGCCGCGGUGAAUACGUUCCCGGGCCUUGUACACACCGCCCGUCACACCAUGAGAGUUUGUAACAUCCAAAGUCGGUGGGGUAACCUAU
rnacentral:rRNA from 1 species